GAUGAACGCUGACAGAAUGCUUAACACAUGCAAGUCAUUGGCGAAGCUGCGCUUGCGCAGUCUAGCCAAGGCGGACGGGUGAGUAACGCGUAAGGAACUUGCCCUGCAGACAGGGAUAACAGACGGAAACGACUGAUAACACCUGGUAUUGUCAGGCUGGCGCAUGCCGGCCUGAUGAAAGGAGACGCUGCAGGAGAGCCUUGCGUCCUAUUAGCUAGUUGGUGGGGUAACGGCCCACCAAGGCGAUGAUAGGUAGCCGGCCUGAGAGGGUGAACGGCCACAAGGGGACUGAGAUACGGCCCUUACUCCUACGGGAGGCAGCAGUGGGGAAUAUUGGACAAUGGGGGCAACCCUGAUCCAGCAAUUCUGUGUGCACGAAGAAGGUUUUCGGAUUGUAAAGUGCUUUCAGCAGGGAAGAAGAAAGUGACGGUACCUGCAGAAGAAGCGACGGCCAAAUACGUG
rnacentral:rRNA from 1 species